rnacentral:rRNA from 1 species
GAUGAACGCUGGCUACAGGCUUAACACAUGCAAGUCGAGGGGAAACGACGGGGAAGCUUGCUUCCCCGGGCGUCGACCGGCGCACGGGUGAGUAACGCGUAUCCAACCCGCCUCUGACUGAGGGAUAACCCGUCGAAAGUCGGCCUAAUACCUCAUGGUAUCGUCUGCGGGCAUCCAACGACGAUUAAAGAUUUCAUCGGUCAGGGAUGGGGAUGCGUCUGAUUAGCUUGUUGGCGGGGUAACGGCCCACCAAGGCUACGAUCAGUAGGGGUUCUGAGAGGAAGGUCCCCCACAUUGGAACUGAGACACGGUCCAAACUCCUACGGGAGGCAGCAGUGAGGAAUAUUGGUCAAUGGGCGAGAGCCUGAACCAGCCAAGUAGCGUGCAGGAAGACGGCCCUAUGGGUUGUAAACUGCUUUUAUGCGGGGAUAAAGUGAGGGACGUGUCCCUCAUUGCAGGUACCGCAUGAAUAAGGACCGGCUAAUUCCGUG